GCUGCAGGCCACCUUAUCGCUGCCGUGUUUGGCACGGGAGAGGAAAGUCCGGACACCGUAGUGCAACAUAGCGGGUAACGCCCGUCCGCCGAAAGGCGAGGACCAGUGCAACAGAAAGCAAGUACAGUUAGGCUGUAGUGAAACCAGGUAAACUCUAUGUGGUGCAACGUCAUGUAUACCAACGCUUGAGGGUUGCACGCCCAAGUUGGAGGGUAGGCGGUUAGACCUUAAAAGUAAUUUUAAGGCUAGAUAAAUGAUAAGGACCCAUUUUGGGAACAGAAUCCGGCUUAUGGCCUGCUUUUUUG
rnacentral:RNase_P_RNA from 2 species